rnacentral:rRNA from 1 species
UACGUAGGGUGCGAGCGUUAAUCGGAAUUACUGGGCGUAAAGGGUGCGCAGGCGGUUUGGUAAGUCAGCUGUGAAAUACCUGGGCUUAACCUGGGAAUGGCAGUUGAGACUGUCAGGCUAGAGUGUGUCAGAGGGGGGUAGAAUUCCACGUGUAGCAGUGAAAUGCGUAGAGAUGUGGAGGAACACCGAUGGCGAAGGCAGCCCCCUGGGAUAACACUGACGCUCAAGCACGAAAGCGUGGGGAGCAAACAGG